CCCUUAGAUGCUCUGGGCCGCACGCGCGCUACACUGGUCGAUGCAACGAGUUUCUUUCCUUGGCCGACAGGCCUGGGCAAUCUUUGAACAUCGAUCGUGAUCGGGAUAGAUUCUUGUAAUUUUUGAUCUUAAACGAGGAAUUCCUAGUAAACGCAAGUCAUCAGCUUGCAUUGAUUACGUCCCUGCCCUUUGUACACACCGCCCGUCGCACCUACCGAUUGAAUGGUCCGGUGAAAUCUCCGGACUGGCGUGAGUCGGAGCAAUCUGACAAACACCGGAAAGUUGAUUAAACCUUAUCAUUUAGAGGAAGGAGAAGUCGUAACA
rnacentral:rRNA from 1 species